AGCCCCAGGAGCAGACCACUGGCACUCACCAAUGAGAACCCAGGGCCAGAAUCACCACUUCCAUCAUCCAUCAGCUCUUGCCAAGUGCCCUAUGCUUCGUGCUGGGCGCCUUGCCUCACAUGGGGACAGUUUGUCAGCAAACCAGCUUUCUCUCCUUCGGCAGGAGAAAGGAAGCGCUCCUGGGCUGCUCCUGAGCCUGGCCAUAUUAGGGCGGCUCACGUGGUAGGAGCUGGGAAACCCAGAGGUUGAUGCAGUCAGGCCACCACUGAGGUGGGCCCAGCGUCCCCAAGAUCCCAGCCAGUGAUGUCAGCUGAUGCCAUCAACAGAGCUCACCGCCCUCUUUCCCCAGGGAACGCGGGGGAAAUGAAGCUGUUACUGGAAAUGUGCCUGUCCUUUGAGCGUCUGAUGCUGAAGGUUACACAUCCAGGCCACUCGUCUCCUGACGCUUAAACACCACAUUGGCUUAGGUCUGCUUAGUCGCCAACCGCAUUAUCAAAACACGAAGAUUUCUCGUACUAGCAAAGAAGGGGCUUGUCUGUUUCUCUUCCCCACUUGAUUAAAAUACUCAUUGUAUUAACACGGCA